AAUUUCCACACAAAUAAACUGAAUAAUAUCUACCCAGAGAUUUUGGGUGUGCACUGAAGGGUGCGCAUGCGUGGUCACUUCUUCUUUGCUGUGGACCGUUGGUUGGCGGGACGUCUCCGGUUGUGGUUUGGCAUCGUGGUUGAAGCAGGAUCUAUGAAAACGUGGAGACCAAUUUGAAAGCAUAAGCUGGAUCUAUAUUAAGCCAAUGAACGGCUACUUGACCAGCCCACAACCUCAUCUGUUUGAAUACAAAAAGUUCCUCAGGGAUGUGGUUGUCAGUUGCCUCAUCGAGUACCUUGGAGAACAAAAGGAAGAUCUGUUCCAAGACUGCCAGGAGGACAUAGCUGAGGACCACACAGACUAAACCAUGAAGGUGCUCGUGAUCCAUAACCCCAUAGCUGAGGUGGAUCCAGCGGAUGUUUCUAUCGUGAUAGAGGGCGACAAGGUACUGAACGGAUGUGGAAAUCGAACCAAGGCCUGUAUGCUGUUGAUGGGUUUGAUUUACGCUCUGAACCUUGAGUAUCCCAAGAGUCUGAAAUACAUCUUUGAAGUAUUCCAGAAACUAUUUUUGGAGCUUGAUGGAGCAAAGCUGCUGAAGAAGGUGCACAGUCUCAAAAGUAAGCUUGUAGAAUGAAAUUUUGUACAUGCCUUUUUGUGCUAAUGAAUUCUCAAACCUGAUUGGAAGAGAUGUGUCCUGUGAAUUGAGAUCAGCCUUUUUUUUUUCUGGGAAGCAGGGCCGCGUUAUAUUUAUCUCGAUUCAGACAAUGUUUCUCUUUUUGUUUGUUUGUUUCUUAGAGAAAAGUUUUGUUUAGCUUUAAUUUUGUCUUCAGCAAGAAAAUACUUGAAAAUCAUUUUUGUUUUUUGUUUUUUUCAUAUUCAGAAAAGCAGCACCUCAAUAUUUGUCUAAGAUCAUCCUUUUUGUUUCUCAGGGGAAAACGACUCAGAUAUUUGCCUGGUCUAGUAUGUUUGAUUACUGAACACAAAAAAGAAGCUAAUCAAACACAUUUCAUGUUUUCAAUAUUGCUCAGGUAGAUUGCUUAUGUAACCUGAUUCCAUGACCAAUAUUGUUUCAGUUUAAUCAUUACAUGUUUUAGAUCCCAUGACAGAAAUAAUUGUGGACACUUGUGUGCUAGCUCUUGAUUGAAUUUUACUUUUAUUUAUUAAAUUUGCACACUAUUUUAUUUUAUCAAACUAUUUAGCUUAACAUUUUGCCACAUAACAUAUUUUUGGGGGUCUCAUUACCAACUUCUAUGGUGUAGCACUUUAUGUUUCACCUAAAUUGUAUCUUAAUUCUUAAAAGAUACUUGACUUGUACGUGUGUUCUUCAAUAAUCAGGUUAUACUGUACUUCAACUCAUACUUUGAGGGGGAGAAAGUUUUGUUUGUUUAUGUUAAAUAUUUCGGGCUCAAUGCUACUUGUCAAAUGUUUAAUGUGAUUUUUAAAAAAAGGUCAAUUAAUAAAGCAAUUGACUGGAUCAAUAUUGCCUCUUGUGUCAUUAACGUUUGGGUUAAUCAAGCAUGCUUUUUAAAAGUAUUAAUUGAUUAGUUAUUUUAAUUAAUAUGUACUAAAAAAAAUUAGGUAAAAAU